AGGUGUUGGAGGAGAGGAAUGACUAUGCGGGGAACAAAUUUGAUGAUGAUGUGUUUGAUGUAAAUGAUUAUAGUGAAGUUAAAGAGGAGUCGGAGGAGAGGAAUGACAAUGCGGGGAACAAAUUUGAUGAUGAUGUGCCGGACGAAGACGAAAUAAUAAUAACGGGAAUUGUAGAUUAUUUUGAUGAGUAUGAUGGCAAAGAAGUUACACCCGAUAAACCGAGGAUUCGAAAACCAUCACAAUAUUUGUGCCCUCCUUACACCGAGUUGCACACGACACCGAAGCAAAAAAGAAGAACAAAAAAGAAGGUUGAUAUCAAAUCAACAAGCCCCGUUCCUCCUCCAGUUCUU